rnacentral:tRNA from 2 species
GCGGGUGUAAUUCAACGGCAGAAUGACAGCUUCCCAAGCUGUAUAUGGCGGUUCAAUUCCGCUCACCCGCU